rnacentral:rRNA from 1 species
CUUACAGUUUGAUCCUGGCUCAGAUUGAACGCUGGCGGCAUGCUUUACACAUGCAAGUCGAACGGUAACAGGGAGCUUGCUCCGCUGACGAGUGGCGAACGGGUGAGUAAUGCAUCGGAACGUACCCAGUCGUGGGGGAUAACGUAGCGAAAGUUACGCUAAUACCGCAUACGUCCUGAGGGAGAAAGCGGGGGACCGUAAGGCCCUCGCGCGAUUGGAGCGGCCGAUGUCGGAUUAGCUAGUUGGUAGGGUAAAGGCCUACCAAGGCGACGAUCCGUAGCGGGUCUGAGAGGAUGAUCCGCCACACUGGGACUGAGACACGGCCCAGACUCCUACGGGAGGCAGCAGUGGGGAAUUUUGGACAAUGGGCGCAAGCCUGAUCCAGCCAUGCCGCGUGAGUGAAGAAGGCCUUCGGGUUGUAAAGCUCUUUCAGACGGAAAGAAAUCGGUGGUGUAAAUAGCGCCACUGGAUGACGGUACCGUAAGAAGAAGCACCGGCUAACUACGUGCCAGCAGCCGCGGUAAUACGUAGGGUGCGAGCGUUAAUCGGAAUUACUGGGCGUAAAGCGUGCGCAGGCGGUUUUGUAAGACAGGCGUGAAAUCCCCGGGCUCAACCUGGGAACUGCGUUUGUGACUGCAAGGCUAGAGUACGGCAGAGGGGGGUGGAAUUCCACGUGUAGCAGUGAAAUGCGUAGAGAUGUGGAGGAACACCAAUGGCGAAGGCAGCCCCCUGGGUCGAUACUGACGCUCAUGCACGAAAGCGUGGGUAGCAAACAGGAUUAGAUACCCUGGUAGUCCACGCCGUAAACGGUGGGCGCUAGGUGUGGGUUCCUUGCACGGAAUCCGUGCCGUAGCUAACGCAUUAAGCGCCCCGCCUGGGGAGUACGGCCGCAAGGCUAAAACUCAAAGGAAUGACG